rnacentral:rRNA from 1 species
CUCAGGGAGGUAGUGACAAGAAAUAACAACACUGGAAAUUUUAUUUCUAGUGAUUGGAAUGAUGGGAAUUUAAACCCCUUUCAGAGUAACAAUUGGAGGGCAAGUCUGGUGCCAGCAGCCGCGGUAAUUCCAGCUCCAAUAGCGUAUAUUAAAGUUGUUGCAGUUAAAAAGCUCGUAGUUGGGUGUCUGCUGGAAGCAAUCAGUCCGCCCUAUUUGUGGGGUGUGCACUUGAUGAAUUCCGGCAUUUUUGUCCCAAUAUUAUGAUGUAGAAUGUGGGACACAGAGUGUUAUUGGGCGAAAGUUCAAUAGCAUGUCUGUGUUCCGAUUCUUAUUAUAUUGGGAUACUGUUACUUUGAGAAAAUUAGAGUGUUUGAAGCAGGCUUUGAAUUGCCUUGAAUACUGCAGCAUGGAAUAACAAUAUAGGAUUUCGGUUCUAUUUUGUUGGUUUCUAGGACUGAAAUAAUGAUUAAUAGGGACAGUUGGGGGCAUUCGUAUUUAACUGUCAGAGGUGAAAUUCUUAGAUUUGUUAAAGACGAACUACUGCGAAAGCAUUUGCCAAAGAUGUUUUCAUUAAUCAAGAACGAAAGUUAGGGGCUCGAAGACGAUCAGAUACCGUCGUAGUCUUAACCAUAAACUAUGCCGACUAGAGAUAGGAAAAUGUCAUUUUGCUGACUU